AUAAAAUAAACAUGUUCUCACCAAUUUUGUAUCGUCUCCAGAACAAUGACCUGGGAGAUUAAGGAGUGAAAUUACAUCUGUGGCUCUAAGGAAACCAAAAUGCAAAUUACAGGGACUGGAGUAAGUAGCAGAAUGUGAAAUGUUUACAAUAACCAGAUGUCUGACACUGUACACUGUUAAUUUUGCUAUAAUGUUAUUAAUAAAAAAUGUGGAAGCUCGCAUAUUGUUAAUAAAAUGUGUACAAGUUAAACGUUAUCAGUAACGACAUUAAUAACAAACAGUGGAAGUGAAGUUGGACAAGAGUGGAGAUGUAAACAUCAUAUUUGUCAGCUCGUGCAGGCCCGCCCAGUUAUCAACCUCUGAACUGAAUAUGUUAAAAUUCGGCUGAGCAUGAUACAGAUGAACCAAGCAAUCUCAUGUAUUCUGCAUCCUUAAGAGACCCCAUUUCAUACAUGGUGUGUUUCUCCCUAAUGCUCAUUAUCCAGUUUUCUGAUUUUAGUUCCCAGUCUAAACAAUAAGAACCUCUCAGAUUCUUGCACUGAUGACCUCGCCUCUGCUGUCAGUACAAAUCAGACACUGAUAAUUCUGAACAUGGGCUGUAAUAAGCUGGGAGAUUCAGGAGUGAAACGACUGUCUCUGAAUGAGGAAUCCAAACUAAAAUGCACACUGUGCGAUUCUGGCUCCUAAGAUCCCAUCUCUGUUGUCUAUGCACGUUGGUCCAUGAUAGACCUGAACCAAAAUGAUAAUAAAUUGUCACAGUUGGGAGCGCAACAACUGACUGUGGCUCUGUAGAACCCAAACUGUAAAAUAUCGAAUCUGAGAAGUGUAAUCGCACACAGCUGAACAACGUUCCCAUAAUCAAAAUUAUCAUUGACAAUUUGCGUUUAGUUAGCAUAUAAUCACCAGCAGGAAACCACUCGUGCAACCAGUGGAAUAUUUACAACAACGCCGCUUACAGGCAAAGAAAAUCAUUACAAAUGACAGAGUGGGAAGGGACGAAAUCGCAGCAGAGUUGUGGGGAGAGGGCAGGGGCACAGAUGAAGCACUAUAUACCCUGAGGUGCACAGCUCUAUCUAAAAGCAUCAGGAGCAUUGAUACACACCACAUGCUCCUUCUCCACGGACACGCUGCUGUGUAGCCUUUAUCCUCAAUCAUAGAACAGAAUCCCUACAGCAUGGACGGAGAACAUUGGUCCAUCAAAUCCCACCGACCAUCUGAAGAAAAUCUCAACCAGAGCACUCCAUCCCUGAAACACUGCAUUUCACACGGUUGAUUCACCAAGUCUGCAAAUUCCUGGACGCUGUGGACAAAAUGCUGAAAAUAGGAGUAAAGACAGGAUUUUUGGCAGUUUGAAGGAACAGCGAGAUCUGGCUGUGCAUGUACA